rnacentral:rRNA from 1 species
GUCUACAGCCACACCACCCUGAACGUACCUGAUCUUGCCUGAUCUCGGAAGCUAAGCAGCGUUGGACCUGGAUAGUACUUGGAUGGGAGAGAUAAGAAACUGACAAGAUGAACACA